rnacentral:rRNA from 1 species
UGGGGAAUAUUGGACAAUGGGCGCAAGCCUGAUCCAGCCAUGCCGCGUGAGUGAUGAAGGCCCUAGGGUUGUAAAGCUCUUUCACCGGUGAAGAUAAUGACGGUAACCGGAGAAGAAGCCCCGGCUAACUUCGUGCCAGCAGCCGCGGUAAUACGAAGGGGGCUAGCGUUGUUCGGAUUACUGGGCGUAAAGCGCACGUAGGCGGACUAUUAAGUCAGGGGUGAAAUCCCGGGGCUCAACCCCGGAACUGCCUUUGAUACUGGUAGUCUUGAGUUCGAGAGAGGUGAGUGGAAUUCCGAGUGUAGAGGUGAAAUUCGUAGAUAUUCGGAGGAACACCAGUGGCGAAGGCGGCUCACUGGCUCGAUACUGACGCUGAGGUGCGAAAGCGUGGGGAGCAAACAGG